rnacentral:lncRNA from 1 species
ACUUUGUAAGAUUAUGGGGAUCAAGAAAUCAUGCACCACCCCUUAUCAUCCCCAAGGAGAUCCACUACCAGAACGAUUCAACCGCACACUACUGAACAUGCUGGGAACUCUGGAGCCUCAGCAGAAAAAAUACCGGAGCCAGCACGUGGAGCAUUUGGUACAUGCGUAUAACUGCACUCGACACAAUGCAACUGGGUUCACACCAUACAUGUUAAUGUUCGGUCGAGAGGCCCGGUUGCCGGUCAAUCUCUGUUUUGGAGUGUCUUCAGAUGGGGCACUCCCAGAAACAUACUUGGGGUAUGUGACUCGCUUAAGAGAUCAACUGAAGGAGGCAUAUCAGAUAGUGAAGCAAGCAGCUGGUCACCAGAGUCAAAAGAAUAAAACCCGAUAUGAUCAGCAAGUGAGGCAACAGGAGAUUCAGGUUGGUGACCGAGUUUUGGCCCGAAAUCUCGGACUACAGGGAAAACACAAAAUUGCAGAUCGUUGGGAGUCACACCCAUACAUUAUAGAGAAGAAAUUUGGGGAUCUACCAGUGUAUCACAUACGUCCUGAGGGCAGUCACGGCCCCACCAAAACUCUCCACCGGAAUCAUCAGUUACCUAUAGGACAAGUAUUGUUUCCCCAUAAGGAUGUUUCCACAGAUUCUGAGACUCCUAGCCCUGCGAGUUGGACAUGGUCCCAACGACGGAAAUAUACCUGUCCUCUGCAAACGCCCAGCUCCUCGGAGAGUGAGGAUGAAAUGGGGUUUGGCGAACAUCCAGUUUGGAAUGCCCCAACCCUAAUGGAUCCUCUUGUUGUCACACAAAGAGAUGGUGAAGGGGAAGAACCGAUACUGAGCACUCCCGAGGCCCCACUGUCCCAAGCUGUGGAGACCCCCCAAGAACAUGAUGAGGAAGAUUCAGUGCAGGCAGAGAACCCAGUACCACAAACAGCCACCUUAAACCCAGAUGCCCUCGAAUUCGUGCCUCAAGGACCCAUCAUCUUGCCUCCAUGUUCAGUGGUGUCACCUCAGCCAAUACUCGACAGCCAGCCUAGACGUUCCUCUAGGGAAGGGAUGCCCAGGUGUGUGCUGACGUAUGAUCGUUUAGGGGAACCCAGUGACCUACAGAUCCCUGGGGUGCCACAGGAGGGAAACUCCAGAGGGUGGCGCUGGAGCUGAGAGGGAGAGCAGCCAGCAGACCCUCCCAAAGGGAGCAGAGAGAACCUGCCUGAAGCCUGGGACAGACAGGGCCGAUCGGGGACACCUCAGGACAGGAGCCAGGAGGAGCACUGUGCCAGGGAGGAAUUGCCCCAGAAGGACAGGCCGGAUCUGGACCCAGUAUCACAGCUGCAUGGUUCUGUGAGUACUGGGGCUUGGGACUCUGCAUUGGGAACAAGGAGGGAGGCUGUAGCUAGUUAAGU